UGCAGUCGAGCGGAUGAUGAAGAAGCUUGCUUCUUCUGAUUUUAGCNNNNNNUNNGUGAGUAACACGUGGGCAACCUACCUUGUAGANNGNNNUAACUCCGGGAAACCGGGGCUAAUACCGGAUAAUCCAUUUUGCUUCAUGGCGAAAUGUUAAAAGGCGGCUUCGGCUGUCACUGCAAGAUGGGCCCGCGGCGCAUUAGCUAGUUGGUAAGGUAACGGCUUACCAAGGCGACGAUGCGUAGCCGACCUGAGAGGGUGAUCGGCCACACUGGGACUGAGACACGGCCCAGACUCCUACGGGAGGCAGCAGUAGGGAAUCUUCCACAAUGGACGAAAGUCUGAUGGAGCAACGCCGCGUGAGUGAAGAAGGUUUUCGGAUCGUAAAACUCUGUUGUAAGGGAAGAACACGUACGAGAGUAACUGCUCGUACCUUGACGGUACCUUAUUAGAAAGCCAUGGCUAACUACGUGCCAGCAGCCGCGGUAAUACGUAGGUGGCAAGCGUUGUCCGGAAUUAUUGGGCGUAAAGCGCGCGCAGGCGGUCCUUUAAGUCUGAUGUGAAAGCCCACGGCUCAACCGUGGNGGGUCAUUGGNAACUGGGGGACUUGAGUACAGAAGAGGAAGCGGAAUUCCNNGUGUAGCGGNGAAAUGCGUAGAGAUUUNGNGGNACACCAGUGGNGAAGNNNGCUU
rnacentral:rRNA from 1 species